UACGAAGGGUGCAAGCGUUAAUCGGAAUUACUGGGCGUAAAGGGUGCGUAGGCGGUUCGUUAAGUCUGUUGUGAAAGCCCCGGGCUCAACCUGGGAAUGGCAAUGGAUACUGGCAGGCUAGAGUGCGGUAGAGGGUAGUGGAAUUCCCGGUGUAGCGGUGAAAUGCGUAGAGAUCGGGAGGAACACCAGUGGCGAAGGCGGCUACCUGGACCAGCACUGACACUGAGGCACGAAAGCGUGGGGAGCAAACAGG
rnacentral:rRNA from 1 species